rnacentral:tRNA from 1 species
GGGCUGCGGCUCAGCGGUAGAGCGCUCGCCUAGCACAUGCGAGGCCCUGGGUUCGAUCCUCAGCAUCACA